GAUGAACGCUAGCGAUAGGCUUAACACAUGCAAGUCGAGGGGCAGCACAAGGUAGCUUGCUAUCUGGGUGGCGACCGGCGCACGGGUGCGUAACGCGUAUGCAACUUGCCCUAUACAGGAGGAUAACCCGUCGAAAGACGGACUAAUACUGCGUAUGCUCACAACUUGGCAUCAAGUGGUGAGGAAAGAAAUUCGGUAUAGGAUAGGCAUGCGUCCCAUUAGCUUGUUGGUGAGGUAACGGCUCACCAAGGCAACGAUGGGUAGGGGAACUGAGAGGUUUAUCCCCCACACUGGUACUGAGACACGGACCAGACGCCUACGGGAGGCAGCAGUGAGGAAUAUUGGUCAAUGGGCGCGAGCCUGAACCAGCCAAGUCGCGUGAAGGAUGACUGUCUUAUGGAUUGUAAACUUCUUUUAUACGGGAAUAACAAGAGUCACGUGUGACUCCCUGCAUGUACCGUAUGAAUAAGCAUCGGCUAACUCCGUG
rnacentral:rRNA from 1 species